GGAGUCGUCCACACGAGCCCACGAAUCUCGAUCAGAAGUCCUGCUUCAGAAAAUCAGCACAGUAUGCUAGUACUGCACUGAUCCUUCUUUGAUGGUUGAUCAGGUGCCUCCUUCUUCUUGAUUUAGACUCUUCCAAAGAUGGAAAGUAGAAGGAGGAGUUUCAGAUCUGAGACACUCUCAGAAAACUCAAGAUGGAGGGAGGAAAGAUAUGAAAACAAACAACCCUAGAAGAAGACCCUCUUC
rnacentral:lncRNA from 1 species